rnacentral:lncRNA from 1 species
GACUACUUUGUUUUUUGGCUUUCAGCCCAAACAGGUAAAUUAACAGCAAUUAAAGUGCAAGGUCUCGGCGACAAUGUUAAAAAAAGAAAUGACGAGGUAAUGUGAACAUAGAACAUGUUGACUGAAGCAACAGCAGCCUUAAUGUUGUCAGCUGAUGACUGAAGAUGGUUGGCUACAGAGAGGAGAGGGCUAAAAAACUAAGACUAAUUACAUUGCAGGAAUCAAACAUAUAAUCAAUAUUUUUCAGUAAAUACACAGACACCCAUCUGGGUGAUCUGCUAGUAAUAUGUUCAACAUAAGGUACACCUUAUUCAAAAUGUAUUGUAUGUAUGUACAAAGUAUCAUGAUUCCUACACUUCACUUACAGUAACAAAGUUGCCGCUGUAAAAUGUAAAAUCUGACCUAAAAAGGGACAUAGCUCAUUAUUUCUGUUUUUAAAAAUGUGAUUUAAGGGCAAAGGUGAGUGGGCUUCCUGCUGCGUCUGCCUCUGCUCCAGAUUUCAUGCAGAUUUAUUUGAUGGUUUCCUUUGCCUCAGGCCUGCUUCCUAUGAGUUACGACGAGACAGAUACAAAACAAAGUGGCUUUCGUAAAGUGUGUCAAGGAAAACAACAACAAAGAGGGAGAGAUGAAACUGGAGCUAUACAAAAGAAGUAAAUGAAUACAUAAACAUUAUAAGCAACAAAAAUAAAUAAUGAAAUGUAAUACUAAGGAGUGUCAAGAAAGUGGUAGAGGAGGUAGAGGGUUGAGGGGAGGGGGGGUAUGAAAGCCAAAUGUUCCUGAAUAAUAAGACCCUCCACAAAUCUAGCACUCCAGCACGCAGACGGAACAGUUUGCGCAGACAAGCACCUUCAGCAAGAGUCAAUGACGAUGAGAAAGGCAGGCCUCCAAAUGGAGGCUUUGCACAACAAAUAGUGUCCAUCUCUCAAAGUUAAUGGUUCGGAAAAGCUGGAUGUCUUUAAAAGGCAACAAAGGCACUGAACUGUCCUCCAGGGCCCUAUACUACAAAUCUCAACAGGCCGUCAUGCCCCAUCUUAAUGCCAAGAAAGAAUCCUACCAUACAGCCUCAGACUGA